rnacentral:rRNA from 1 species
GACGAACGCUGGCGGCGUGCUUAACACAUGCAAGUCGAACGGAAAGGCCCUGCUUUUGUGGGGUUCUCGAGUGGCGAACGGGUGAGUAACACGUGAGUAACCUGCCCUUGACUGUGGGAUAACUUCAGGAAACUGGGGCUAAUACCGGAUAGGAGCUCCUGCUGCAUGGUGUUGGUUGGAAAGUUUCGGCGGUUGGGGAUGGACUCGCGGCUUAUCAGCUUGUUGGUGGGGUAGUGGCUUACCAAGGCUUUGACGGGUAGCCGGCCUGAGAGGGUUACCGGCCACAUUGGGACUGAGAUACGGCCCAGAAUCCUACGGGAGGCAGCAGUGGGGAAUAUUGCACAAUGGGCGGAAGCCUGAUGCAGAAACGCCGCGUGCGGGAUGACGGCCUUCGGGUUGUAAACCGAUUUCGCCUGUGACGAAGCGUGAGUGACGGUAAUGGGUAAAGAAGCACCGGCUAACUACGUG